rnacentral:rRNA from 1 species
UACAGAGGUCUCAAGCGUUGUUCGGAUUCAUUGGGCGUAAAGGGUGCGUAGGCGGCGGGGCAAGUCGGAUGUGAAAUCUCAGGGCUCAACCCUGAAACUGCAUUCGAUACUGCCUUGCUCGAGGACUGGAGAGGAGAUUGGAAUUCACGGUGUAGCAGUGAAAUGCGUAGAUAUCGUGAGGAAGACCAGUGGCGAAGGCGGAUCUCUGGACAGUUCCUGACGCUGAGGCACGAAGGCCAGGGAGCAAACGGG